UACGUAGGGUGCGAGCGUUGUCCGGAAUUAUUGGGCGUAAAGAGCUUGUAGGCGGUUUGUUGCGUCGGCUGUGAAAUCCCGAGGCUCAACCUCGGGUCUGCAGUCGAUACGAGCAAACUAGAGUGUUGCAGGGGAGACUGGAAUUCCUGGUGUAGCGGUGAAAUGCGCAGAUAUCAGGAGGAACACCGAUGGCGAAGGCAGGUCUCUGGGCCACUACUGACGCUGAGAAGCGAAAGCAUGGGGAGCGAACAGG
rnacentral:rRNA from 1 species